rnacentral:rRNA from 1 species
CCUACGGGAGGCUGCAGUGGGGAAUAUUGCACAAUGGGCGCAAGCCUGAUGCAGCCAUGCCGCGUGUGUGAAGAAGGCCUUCGGGUUGUAAAGCACUUUCAGCGGGGAGGAAGGCGGUGAGGUUAAUAACCUCAUCGAUUGACGUUACCCGCAGAAGAAGCGCCGGCUAACUCCGUGCCAGCAGCCGCGGUAAUACGGAGGGUGCAAGCGUUAAUCGGAAUUACUGGGCGUAAAGCGCACGCAGGCGGUUUGUCAAGUCGGAUGUGAAAUCCCCGGGCUCAACCUGGGAACUGCAUUCGAAACUGGCAGGCUAGAGUCUUGUAGAGGGGGGUAGAAUUCCAGGUGUAGCGGUGAAAUGCGUAGAGAUCUGGAGGAAUACCGGUGGCGAAGGCGGCCCCCUGGACAAAGACUGACGCUCAGGUGCGAAAGCGUGGGGAGCAAACAGGAUUAGAUACCCCGGUAGUC